rnacentral:rRNA from 1 species
GACAGAGGUGCCGAGCGUUAGGCGGAAUCACUGGGCUUAAAGCGUGUGUAGGCGGAUUUGUAAGUACCUUGUGAAAUCCCACGGCUCAACCGUGGAACUGCUUGGUAUACUGCUUAUCUUGGGCCAUCUAGGGGCUAGCGGAACAAACGGUGGAGCGGUGAAAUGCGUAGAUAUCGUUUGGAACGCCAAUGGUGAAAACAGCUAGCUGGGGAUGUGCCGACGCUGAGACACGAAAGCCAGGGGAGCGAACGGG